GAUGAACGCUGGCGGCGUGCCUAAUACAUGCAAGUCGAGCGAACGGACGAGAAGCUUGCUUCUCUGAUGUUAGCGGCGGACGGGUGAGUAACACGUGGAUAACCUACCUAUAAGACUGGGAUAACUUCGGGAAACCGGAGCUAAUACCGGAUAAUAUUUUGAACCGCAUGGUUCAAUAGUGAAAGACGGUCUUGCUGUCACUUAUAGAUGGAUCCGCGCUGCAUUAGCUAGUUGGUAAGGUAACGGCUUACCAAGGCAACGAUGCAUAGCCGACCUGAGAGGGUGAUCGGCCACACUGGAACUGAGACACGGUCCAGACUCCUACGGGAGGAAGCAGUAGGGAAUCUUCCGCAAUGGGCGAAAGCCUGACGGAGCAACGCCGCGUGAGUGAUGAAGGUCUUCGGAUCGUAAAACUCUGUUAUUAGGGAAGAACAAAUGUGUAAGUAACUGUGCACAUCUUGACGGUACCUAACCAGAAAGCCACGGCUAACUACGUG
rnacentral:rRNA from 1 species